UUUAUCUGGAACAAUGCAAGAAAUACCUUCAUUUAGGAGGUCUCAACAACUCAGAUACCACAGUGUUUCAGAAACCAACGACUCAUCGGGUAUUUCAUUAUUUCUCUGGUCAAGUACAUACAUGUGCAUCAUUCGGAGGUGCAGACAACUAAAUGUGUGAA